UACAGAGGUCCCAAGCGUUGUUCGGAUUCACUGGGCGUAAAGGGUGCGUAGGUGGAGGGGUAAGUUUGAUGUGAAAUCUCCGGGCUCAACCCGGAAAAUGCAUUGAAUACUACUCUGCUGGAGGUUUGGAGGGGGGACUGGAAUUCUUGGUGUAGCAGUGAAAUGCGUAGAUAUCAAGAGGAACACCAGUGGCGAAGGCGAGUCCCUGGACAACACCUGACACUGAGGCACGAAAGCUAGGGGAGCAAACAGG
rnacentral:rRNA from 1 species